UAGGGAAUCUUCCACAAUGGACGCAAGUCUGAUGGAGCAACGCCGCGUGAGUGAAGAAGGUUUUCGGACCGUAAAGCUCUGUUGUUGGUGAAGAAGGAUAGAGGUAGUAACUGGCCUUUAUUUGACGGUAAUCAACCAGAAAGUCACGGCUAACUACGUGCCAGCAGCCGCGGUAAUCGUAGGUGGCAAGCGUUGUCCGGAUUUAUUGGGCGUAAAGCGAGCGCAGGCGGAAGAAUAAGUCUGAUGUGA
rnacentral:rRNA from 1 species